AAUAAUACAUAAUGUUGAAGUAAUCAACUGGUGGCAGCGAGACGACAUGUAGCUUGUGAUCUCUGCUUGGUGAAACAACCAAGGGACAGUUGGGAACAUGACAGUAAGCAAACAUUAUUUGCCACAUAUGAUUUAGUAAUUAUUUUGAUAUUUAAAUUGGAAGUCAUCUGGAGCAUUUUGUCUUUUCCAAUAGACUAUAAGCACAGAGGAUCCCAACCACUGCUGCAUGAAACUACUGCUGUCUGAUAUAGAGGAGAAAAUUGCCAGAAGUAUUAUGCUUGGAUGAUAUCCAUGUGAGACCUUCCUGCCAUCUGGACCAACCUACCUGCAUGACUGUGCUUGAUCAACACUACUUACUCAUCCAGAAAGUAUCAUCUCAGUUUUAAUAAACCUGGUGUCUUGAACUGUUCUCAUUCAGUUCCUGGUGGCCAUGUGAUUUGGCCAUGUAAUUUGUCUCUUUACAUGUGUUUUUAAAGAAAUCAUCUGGAUGUGUAAGACAGUUUAAGAUUAUCCAGAAAACAAGAUCUGCCUGCAUUGACACAGAAAGUCUAGAAUCAGAUCUGCUGUAGAUAAACUGUCCUAGGGGAACUGCCAUCUAUCACUUCCUCAUCUGCAGUACAGGGUUGUGCAUUUGGUGGGUUCACAGGAAAGGACCUUCUCUGUUGCU